CGGGCUCAUAUUGAACCUAGUGAUGUAUGAGUUAGUGGCGGACGGGUGAGUAACGCGUGGAGAACCUGCCGUAUACUGGGGGAUAACACUUAGAAAUAGGUGCUAAUACCGCAUAAGCGCACAGCUUCGCAUGAAGCAGUGUAAAAAACUCCGGUGGUAUACGAUGGAUCCGCGUCUGAUUAGCUGGUUGGCGGGGUAACAGCCCACCAAGGCGACGAUCAGUAGCCGGCCUGAGAGGGUGAACGGCCACAUUGGGACUGAGACACGGCCCAAACUCCUACGGGAGGCAGCAGUGGGGAAUAUUGCACAAUGGGGGAAACCCUGAUGCAGCGACGCCGCGUGAGUGAAGAAGUAUUUCGGUAUGUAAAGCUCUAUCAGCAGGGAAGAAAUACUGACCUUACGGUCAGCAGACGGUACCUGACUAAGAAGCCCCGGCUAACUACGUGCCAGCAGCCGCGGUAAUACGUAGGGGGCAAGCGUUAUCCGGAUUUACUGGGUGUAAAGGGAGCGUAGACGGCAGCGCAAGUCUGAAGUGAAAUCCCAUGGCUUAACCAUGGAACUGCUUUGGGAACUGUGCAGCUGGAGUGCAGGAGAGGUAAGCGGAAUUCCUAGUGUAGCGGUGAAAUGCGUAGAUAUUAGGAGGAACACCAGUGGCGAAGGCGGCUUACUGGACUGUAACUGACGUUGAGGCUCGAAAGCGUGGGGAGCAAACAGGAUUAGAUACCCUGGUAGUCCACGCCGUAAAC
rnacentral:rRNA from 1 species